CAUCCAUGUCCAAAUUUUAGUUGUUCAGUUUGGUCCAGACAGGUAAAAAUUCAGUAGACAUUCGGAUCCAUUCAGAUGCUGCUUUAAUACAUUUUAGGAACAAUAUCCAGAGACAGAGAAAGUUAUUCAAAUAUAUUUGUCUGUAGCAUUCUUUAUUUCCAAGUAUGUUUGUGUAAACUCAUCGGAAAAAAAAACUUGCUCCACAUCCAAAAAAGAAGCCUUUAUAAAUUUAAGAAACUAACAAUUUUCCACUUUGCAACUGGUUGCAGUUAGUUGAAAAUGUGUAAUUUAAAAUGAUAACAAGCAACCACUAGAGGUCACAACUUCAUUGUUAUUUCAAAAAGUAUAUUGGUUUACUCACUUAGCAACAAACUACAAAAUUUAGGCACAAAUAGCUAGCCCUAGUUCAGGGAUAGGCAACCUUGGUACUACAGUUGUGGACAACAUCCCCCAUAAUGCUCUUACACACAUAAUGCUGGCAAAGCAUCAAGGGAGGUGUAGUCCAAAACAUCUGCAGUGAAGGUUGCCUAUGCCUGCCCUAGUCGAUAACUGAGCUGGAUAGAUCUCCCAAAUCAUACCUUUUUGCCUAACCUUUGCUAAUCAGUUUUCAAAAGUUUAGUAAAUAAAUCUAUUAAGUGCGAGUAAUACUUCUCAGGGGAAUCAAAACACCAGGAACAUUUCCUAUGACCACUCCUGGCAACACAACCACUACUGUGGACAGUAAUAAUAAUAAUAAUAAUAAUAAUAUGGUGUUUGGAGUGUCCAUUGAUGGGGGGGGGUAAUUCGAAAAAGUAAGAAAUUAUUAGGCAACUUCAGGUAUCAUAACAAGUUCUUUGAAAUCGAGUAGGUGUAGGUGUGAUGUCCUGUAGUCACUUAGUUUCCAUCCAGCUCACAUAUUUUCCUAAAAGUUGCAAAUCCCUGGAUACAUUAUGUUUAAUAAAUACAAAAGUGCAAACCAAAUAGCAAAAUGGAGGCAAGAAGUAGCUGAAUGGAGGACAUUCACCAGCUCACCUAUAGUCCCAGUUUGAUGAUUACAUUUUACAAUCUGGCUUUCCUUUCAUUUUACAGUUUACUGAUCGGGAAUCACGAUGUAGUUAAUGAUCCUGAUCGGUUGUAGAGCAGGAGUGAAUGAGUUAAGUUCUUGGAGCAGUUGCUUUCUCUUUAAGUUUGCAUACAAUGAACAAGAAAUAUGAUACCAGGUUCACAGCCAUUGAAAGCCCCAUAAAACAGCUCAGCGUACAGAACAGACUCGCAUGAAGAAAGAUUUAAAGUGACCCUGAAACAAAAAAACCAUGGUGUGCAAUGAAAUUCAAAGCUGCAAUAAAAACAACCCCCAUUCCGUGACUACUCUGACUCUUCUCCUAAGCCCUUAG